rfam:Octopus bimaculoides Scaffold25909_contig_77, whole genome shotgun sequence.
GGGGAAUUAGCUCAGAUGGUAGAGCGCUCGCUUAGCAUGCGAGAGGUACCGGGAUCGAUGCCCGGAUUCUCCA